UACCUACUCGGCCUCUUGGGUUAAGGGGGUCUUCACGUCAGGGACAACAGCCUCAAACUGCUGGCAAAGACGCGGGGCAGGUCGGAUGGUGGAGUAGCUCUUCUACUAGUGUGGUAAGGUAACUAGGGACCGCGUGUUGGUCAAUCACGUGCCGGCAUAGCUAUGUGUGGGGUUGUCUUCCUACUUUAUCUUUUUGUCUAGUUCCUCUACGAGGCGCGUCCAUAGUAGGCGGGGUCAAGCUCGGGGAAACGACGGGGUCACGACGAACACGCUUUUUUCCUGCCUUGCACCGCAAAGACACACCUGAUAGCGGUUGAAUUACGUUAGUGCCAGUUCUUGUUUGUAGGUUACGGCCACCACCUACUCUACAACCUGCUCUAGAGUCCGCGUUUUACCAAGUGGUUCGACCUGGAAGAGAGUCCCAUAGUAGUCUAUUCUCACCGGCUACUCCUACACAAGUUUUGUCGGAAGGCGUGGGUGGUCCCGGACAUGCUCAAGGACCAUUACGGGAAACCGGAGAGCGUACGUGGGCCGAGAAAGGUCUCGUACUAUGUGUUCCAAGAGUUAGGAGACGAGGCCGUACCACAAAACCGCAAAUACUUACUAUAAAACCACGUAUGUCGAUGGAACCUCCUUGUGGAUGCAGCGGAUGCACUUCAUAACGUCGACGACGCCCUAUUACUUAACCACUAGUUUGCGAGAUUCACACGGAAGCGGGUCGGAGCCUAGCUUAUGGAGUCCGUGCAGUAGCCACGACUCCCGCACCGAUGACUAGGCCGUUUCCAACUCCGUCACGUCUGAACCGGAUAAGGGUAAAGACAGGCCCGACAAGCUCCCAAAAACCCAGAGUGCCCCAUGAUAGCCUUCAAGUAAGUCGUAAUGCCGCACUAAUCAGCUGGUCACUGUCUCGACAAUUUUUUUCCGUUUUAAAAGGUCACCUGUGUUGGUCGUCUUUGUCGAAAGGUCAACGAGUUCUUCCGUUACUAGCGUCGAGGCCACAACCGACAUGGGUUAAAGGUCGUUUGUAAACAGGACCUCUGGCUACGUACGUUCCUACCGUAGCCCCGUCAGGAGUACGUCGUUCCCGUGGGUCACCGAAUGAACUCGUUUCCCGAGACAGAUUUCUUAGUUCGUGAGUCGUGCAUGCUCUUCCUUACGGAGCGGUAGGACUACCGGCACCUGUUUACCUCCGGCAUGGAUGUCGUGGUUGUAAAGUAUUAUGCGUGUCUAGUCGUUCGGGAGAACGUAGAGCGGCUGGUUUCUAACUCAUGCCCCUAGGUCGUGUUCCGGAAACAGUUUGAUUACACU
rnacentral:rRNA from 1 species